rnacentral:misc_RNA from 1 species
GAGGUAAUGUUAAACCGGGGGAGUUAAUUCAAAGAAUAUGACACAACGUUUAAGCAAGAAAGACAAAUUAAACCAAGCAGUGAAAUAUGAGAGCUUGUGAGUGUCAAUGGACUAACAUGUCGAAGAAAUUCUUACAGGUCCACAUAAGUUGGACUAACGCCCAAAAUACACGGAACCACCUGUAUUAUCAAAAAAAAAAACAAAUAUCAUUUUCUUGAAACAUUUGC